CGCGACCAAGCGUGAGGCUGAAUGAGAAGGGAAAGAGAGACAUCCAGCCGUUGCCAAGAGACGGACUGUUCUGACGCGCGCCCAGAUGGACCCGUCGCCCUGGUGACCGGGAAGGUGGGGUGACGUUUGCGCAGAGAGGAAGGAGAGGUGAAACAACCAUCCCCCUCAGCUUGAUUCACCACGUGAUCGUUUGUUAUCAUUGAGAGGGUCGCCCCUGCGGGAGCGCAGCUCCUAAGAUUAACCCUCCGCGCGCCGGCCCUCGGGCUGUGUUUGGUCCGCCGUACUUCCAAGGCCAGGCUGUUUGAAAGGUUUUGUGAAUGUACAUGACAUCUUCAGUGAUCACUCUACCGUAACUGUGGUUUUUGCAGAAGGAGUGGGGUAGUGCAUGGUUAUGUUGCAGCAGAGGAUGAGCAAAGAUUUGCUAUCAUCACAAGCUGGGAGGCAUGAGGUGGAGCCCUCAGAAGUUCUGCAACUUUGAAGAGAAUUUGUGACCUAUUUGGACGCUGCUGAUCUUCAUGCGUGCAAAAUGAAGAAAAUAUCAUUUCAGUAGCCAAAGUUGCCUAAUCUGUGGGAUUCACUAACUACUAAUCGAGAUCAAAUGUACUCGGGCAACAGAUAGAUUUCUUCCCCAGUAUGACUCGGAAGUCCCAUCCAACUACAAUGUCUGAAGAUCAGAUGCUCUUUCAGCCAUUUGAGGGAGGAAAUAAACAUGUAAACCAUAUUCAUUGUUCUUUAAAGUGAAAUCCAGAAGCUCUACAGUAGCUAUCUAUCUAUCUGUGCUCUCCUACCCAGCUUCAGGUAUCAUGUGAAUCCAACCACUUGGGCUGUGGAGGGGCAGUGGAGACUGGCAAGCAAAGCCAAGCGUUAGAGAUCCACGCAAAAGAAGGCAACUCCAACCUGUAUCCUGGUGGGGACACACACACCCCUUCCCUCUCCCUCUCUCCCCUUGCACCAGGGGCCUGGGCAGCCUGAACACAGCUCCCUCCUCGGAUGCGACCAGCAAGCAAACAAAUGUGGCGCUCUGGCUGGGAGGUGGCAGCACGGAGCCCUGGCUGAUUUCCUGAGAGUACAAUCAAGAAAACAACAAUGGAUGAUUGAACAAAUCAACCCAGAGAUUUCGUUUGAGGCACAAAUGGCAGGUUCAUGUUAUCCUACUUCAGGCACAUUAAGUGAAGUCCCAGGUCUCUGAAAAAGGCUUUAAUGUUGGGAAAGGUGGAAGGAAAGAGGAGAAGAGCAAAGUGAUGAACUCACAGUGGUGAUGGUGGCACCAUUGGGAAGCUUGAAAGAACAGGUUGGGGAUAUAUCAUCAUGGAGAAAACCCAACUAUGUGGUCACUGUGUCACCCACAUGGUUGCUCCACACAGAGGGUCCCUGCAAUGAGAUUGUAAAAUAGUGAUCUCUAAUGGGUUUGAGAGCCCUAGAAGCUGGAGGAAAAUCAUCCUGUCUUAGUUGUGGUUCAGCAUCUUCAAGCAGACACUGGAUUCACAUACUUCCUCUCUUAACUACUUUAGGAAGUUGCUUGUUAAUGAUUAUCUUGAUGUUAAGAACGUUCUGAAGGGCAAGUUUCAUCCUGACUGGAGAAUUUCUUUUACCCUGAAUGAAAAAAAGUUGUGAGUUUGUGGAUUAAGAAAAGAAAAAUAUUAAUUUUUAGAAAACAGUAAAAAAGGAACUAGAAUGUUAUUUCUGGAAAGUUAAGGUGCUAAAAUGGACUUGAAAAAUAUUUUCUGUGAGGUAUUUAAAAUGUUAUAAAAGAAUUAUGAAGAUUUUGAAAUUAACUGUGACAAAUCCACCCAUGUGAAAGUUUUGAUGAUUGGAAUCUAAACAUACAAUAUGAGAAGACUUUGACUGACUGGAAGAACCAGAGAGAACUAAAGAUUAUAAUCGAAGAACAAGAAAGCCAUUAAUACAAGGCUGUAUUAUGGAGCAAUAUCAUUUGACUAUAGAAGAAAUUAAGCUUAGGAACAAUGUAUUCAGAAAUUACUUACUUGUCUGAUAUUAUAAAGAUGGAUUUAACACAAGAUAUAGAAGAACAUAUUUUACUAGAUAAAACAGAGAAUGGGACUGAUUUGAAUGUGAAUUUGAAAAUGAAUUUUUUAAAAGUGCCAUGUUUGACAUGGAAAAAGAUGCUGAUUUGAAAAUAGGUUUAAAAAUGUCAGAAUGAUAUGGAAAAGGAUCCCACAAUGGAUUUCCAGUUGAAACCCGCUGAUGUCUUAAUAACUAAAGGGGACAUACAAAUAAGAAGAAUUCUUGGAUCUUUCUUAUUUUGGAUUUAUAAAAGGUAUGUGUUAAACUACUGAAGCUGUUCCUGAAAGAAGAAAAAGCUAAAAUGAUAACAAAUCAACUUGUAUGACAUUACCAAAGAUUAAAGACCAAGCUUUUUCAAAAUAAGAGAAGGAAUAUAAAAUGAACUUAUUUGACCAGGGAUAAAAUAUAUGUAUAGUAGUUUCUGAUAGUAAUUAAUAGAAUUUCUUUUUGACCAGGGUUGAAUAUCCGGCAUUAAAAAACUUUUUAUAAAUGGGAGAGAUUUCUUUUGCUUUAUCUCUUAGAGAAAAUGAUAUGUUAGAAUACAAAAUGGAUUUAUUUGAUUAAGGUUAAAAUAUAUGUGUUAUUGUUUCUGAUAGCUCUUACUAAACUUUUGCUGAUUAGAACUGAAUGAUGGAUUUUAUAUUGGAAGAAGAGAUCUCUUUAAUUGGAAUACUAGAGAAGAUGUUAAGUUACAUCUGAAGUUGUUUACACUUAUCUGGAGGCAGGGGGGAGUAUAUCUUUUUCUCCUUUUAUUUUUUCUAUCUCUGCACUUUUUUUUCUUUUUAUACUUUUCUUAUUGCGUAUUAGUAUUUGUAAACUUUAAGAAGAAUAUUUAAAAAAAAAUAAAAAAUGAAACCCUACUUUGUUCCAUCUAUUUGUCAAGUUAUUCCAAAGAUUCAUGCAACAAUGAUUCAAAUACAUCAUUUGGCCUUUCCAGGCAAACAAGCUUUUUAUAAUAAUAGAGACAAAAUACAGAUUAGUAAAUGCAAAACAAGAUAAGUAAGGUAAAAAUCUUGUUUCUCCACUCACCACACCCAGCAUUAAUGAAGUCAAAUACAUCUCUCAAUUCAAUUCCCAUGAAGGCUUGUAUAUUUUUUCAAUUCAAUUCGUAUAGUUUUUCUUUUUUUAUACUUAUAUAUAUGCUUAUAUAUCAUAUAGUUAUUUCAUGCUUACGCUUACAUAUACUAUUAUGUCAAAUAAAUAAAAUAAAUAAAGGCUGUUGACUGCUCUAAUGUAAUGUUUAAUGUUUCUCAACCUUAGCAACUUUAAUUCUGUGAGUUGAAAUUCACACAUCUUAAGCUUGCCAAGGUUGAGUUACACUGGUCUAAUGUGACUAGGCUGAAUUUGUUGACCUUGUUUGCAGAAUGAGAGAUAUGAACUAAAAAUCUUUCAGUUUUAUAAAACUAUGUAUUUUAAAGCAAGCUUUCCUAGUUUGCACUAAGAUAAGAGUCCCGUCCUCUUCUGUUACCAGGACUAGUGACUAAUCUAAAGUAACCUAGGUAUCCAUCUCAUUGGAUGGCACUUGAACUGCUUUACUAAUGAGAGCAAUCUCAAAUCCCCAUUUCCAGAAAUGAGGAAUAAGAGCCAGGAGACAAAAUUUUGAGGAAAAAAUAAGAAUAAAUUCUAUUAGUACUCAUGAUUUUAAAAUGAAAAUGGCCAAAAGUUUGGCAACAUAUCCAAACUCAAUAUGUAUAUCAAUUAACAAAUAUUAGAAAAAUAAAAUAUAUGAAAUCUUGAAAAGACUACCAAGUCUCAUAAAUGUUCAGUGAUUUUACACAGUAUGUAUACAGGAAUACUAAAGUUGUGUGUUGUCUCAUGAGACUUCCAGGUUCUUUCAUAAGCUCUCUUGAGAACUUUUGAGAUUCUGUGAAAGCACCAAGAAUCUGAGAAUUAAAGGAAAGGAUCACACUGUUACCUCACAAUAAUUUCAGUUUCAGCUGUUGCCCUCUCAAAUAUCCAGUAAGUUUCACAAAUAAAUGAACCAAACAAUGACCCUUUCAAUAAAGAUCACUCACUCUCUCUCGCACACACACAGCUAAAUUAUGCUUUCACAUAUAGUUCAGAAUUCUUUUUUUUCACAAAUGGAAAAACUGUAGUAUGAUAAGAGGAGAGUGAUUAGAGACAUGAACAUUACUGUUAAACCAUGAAGCAGAUUUUAUCUCUGGUUCAUGCCAGGCAACUUUCUAAAGAGCAACACCUCCAAAGGACUUAUUAUAACUGGAAAUCAGUCACCUUAUAGGGGAGAUA